AGAGUUUGAUCCUGGCUCAGGACGAACGCUGGCGGCGUGCUUAACACAUGCAAGUCGAACGGUGAGGCUCCAGCUUGCUGGAGUGGAUCAGUGGCGAACGGGUGAGUAACACGUGAGCAACCUGCCCCAGACUCUGGAAUAAGCGCUGGAAACGGCGUCUAAUACUGGAUACGAGAUCAAGCCGCAUGGUUAUGGUCUGGAAAGUUUUUCGGUUUGGGAUGGGCUCGCGGCCUAUCAGCUUGUUGGUGAGGUAAUGGCUCACCAAGGCGACGACGGGUAGCCGGCCUGAGAGGGCGACCGGCCACACUGGGACUGAGACACGGCCCAGACUCCUACGGGAGGCAGCAGUGGGGAAUAUUGCACAAUGGGCGAAAGCCCGAUGCAGCGACGCCGCGUGAGGGAUGACGGCCUUCGGGUUGUAAACCUCUUUCAGCAGGGAAGAAGCGAAAGUGACGGUACCUGCAGAAGAAGCACCGGCUAACUACGUGCCAGCAGCCGCGGUAAUACGUAGGGUGCGAGCGUUGUCCGGAAUUAUUGGGCGUAAAGAGCUUGUAGGCGGUUUGUCGCGUCUGCUGUGAAAAUCCGGGGCUCAACCCCGGACUUGCAGUGGGUACGGGCAGACUAGAGUGUGGUAGGGGAGACUGGAAUUCCUGGUGUAGCGGUGAAAUGCGCAGAUAUCAGGAGGAACACCGAUGGCGAAGGCAGGUCUCUGGGCCACUACUGACGCUGAGAAGCGAAAGCAUGGGGAGCGAACAGGAUUAGAUACCCUGGUAGUCCAUGCCGUAAACGUUGGGCGCUAGGUGUGGGACUCAUUCCACGAGUUCCGUGCCGCAGCUAACGCAUUAAGCGCCCCGCCUGGGGAGUACGGCCGCAAGGCUAAAACUCAAAGGAAUUGACGGGGGCCCGCACAAGCGGCGGAGCAUGCGGAUUAAUUCGAUGCAACGCGAAGAACCUUACCAAGGCUUGACAUAUACCGGAAACUUCCAGAGAUGGUUGCCCCCUUUGGGUCGGUAUACAGGUGGUGCAUGGUUGUCGUCAGCUCGUGUCGUGAGAUGUUGGGUUAAGUCCCGCAACGAGCGCAACCCUCGUUCUAUGUUGCCAGCACGUCAUGGUGGGGACUCAUGGAAGACUGCCGGGGUCAACUCGGAGGAAGUGGGGAUGACGUCAAAUCAUCAUGCCCCUUAUGUCUUGGGCUUCACG
rnacentral:rRNA from 1 species